rnacentral:lncRNA from 10 species
AUCAGAGGAGCCUGAGCGUAAUGUUAAUGUUCUGAGUGCUUCUGAAGUGACAGGAAGUGGUGCAUAUGCCCAGGGACAAAGCCAAGUUGAGGAGCAGAACCACAGUAGCUUGAGGAAGGAAUAGGUGAGAGUAGUGAUCCACCUGCCUCGGCCUCCCAAAGUGCUGGGAUUACAGGCGUGAGCCACCGCGUCCAGCCAAUUGGUGGGUUCCUGGUCUCACUGACUUCAAGAAUGAAGCCACGGACCCUCGCAGUGAGUGUUACAGUUCUUAAAGAUGGUGUGUUCAGAAUUUGUUCCUUCUGAUGUUCGGACGUGUAUGGAGUUUCUUCAUUCUGAUGCUGUUACGAACUUCCCUUAGAAUCAACCCAUUUGUGAAACACCACAUUAAUAAGAGCAGUAUCUUUGGAGAUUGGAGAGUCCACCAAGGAUGCCCACUGGCUCCCUACAAAGUUUUUUAUGUGAGGACUCGGUCUCAGAUAUGGCUACUGGGAUUCUGUUCAAACUGAGUGAAGACAUCAUCAUCUUUCUUUGAGAUCUUCCUUGCUUUCUGGCCAAAGAAGUUAUUCCCUGACCCGACUUUCCAAAGAGUACUAGUUCCUUUUAGCAGUGAUUAGAAACCUGAUCUGAGUACUACUGUGUGUGCUUGUGACUAGUGUGGUUUUAUUGUUUCUAUGUCCUUUCAGCGAGCAGAUCUACAAUGAGGGAUACAUCUAAACAAAACUCCAUAUUAAUAAGUCCAGUUGAAAUCUAACAACAUAGGGUUCUUUCGCAUUCUCUUGCAUUCCAUAUUUGUAUAUUCGUUCACCCAUGGUGGCAACCCUGGCUAUUAGAAAUAUAAUUGUAUUUAUUUUGCUGUAUCCUACAAUAAAACAAAAAAAUUAAGAAUUACUAUACCAACAUCAUGAUAAAAAUACACAUACUAAGUAAAUCUGUUAUGUAAACUACAAGUGUGUUUGUAGCAUUUUUGUUUUUACACUAUAGCCUACUAAGUGUGCAAUUAGACUUCUUGCUCACUGGUUUCUGUUUACUUUUAAUUUUAGUAUU